rnacentral:rRNA from 1 species
GUAGGAGGCGAGCGUUGUCCGGAAUCAUUGGGCGUAAAGAGCGCGCAGGCGGCUUGGCAAGUCGGGUGUGAAAUCCCGGGGCUCAACCCCGUGACUGCAUCCGAUACUGUCAGGCUAGAGGUAGGUAGGGGAGUUCGGAAUUCCUGGUGUAGCGGUGAAAUGCGCAGAUAUCAGGAGGAACACCGGUGGCGAAGGCGGAUCUCUGGGCCUUACCUGACGCUCAGGCGCGAAAGCUAGGGGAGCGAACAGGAUUAGAUACCCUGGUAGUCCUAGCCGUAAACGUUGGGUGCUAGGUGUGGGCGGAUAUCAACCCCGUCCGUGCCGAAGCUAACGCAUUAAGCACCCCGCCUGGGGAGUACGGCCGCAAGGCUA